CUCCCUUCUCCCACCCUCUCCCUUCCCACACCUGGAGACUCAGAUCCCCCCAGGGCUGUGGACGACUGGCACAGUGGGACAUAAGCAUCACUUACAAUCAGAAAAGAUCCCUGAUGAAAGUGCAUGAAGGAACACAAAGCAGGCGACUGCACGUCUAUGAACACGCUCACGGUAUUUCCUGUGAAGCAGAGGCACCUCUGGGCCCCACCCAGGCCUGGGACCGCCCUGAGCCUGAGCCCCUCACACAGUGCGGCCCCAGCCCUGCCUCGGAGAAGCCCAGGCCAGGAUGAAGCCUGGGACCGGGGGAGGAGUCGGACCGCGGCCCUGGAGCUCAGGAUGCUGCAGCCUGGGGUGUCGGCGUUAUUCCCACGCAUCUCCACAGCUCCCGCCGCACCCACCCCGCGGACCUGCUGGCGGAGCCGGUGGUAUACUGUGAACUGACUUAUGAAACCACCUCUGCAAGGCAAAACAGGCCAUUGGCCACUGGGCCCCGU
rnacentral:lncRNA from 1 species